rnacentral:rRNA from 1 species
AGCGAACGCUGGCGGCAGGCCUAACACAUGCAAGUCGAACGAACUCUUCGGAGUUAGUGGCGGACGGGUGAGUAACACGUGGGAACGUGCCUUUUGGUUCGGAAUAACUCAGGGAAACUUGUGCUAAUACCGAAUGUGCCCUUCGGGGGAAAGAUUUAUCGCCAUUAGAGCGGCCCGCGUCUGAUUAGCUAGUUGGUGAGGUAACGGCUCACCAAGGCGACGAUCAGUAGCUGGUCUGAGAGGAUGACCAGCCACACUGGGACUGAGACACGGCCAGACUCCUACGGGAGGCAGCAGUGGGGAAUCUUGCGCAAUGGGCGAAAGCCUGACGCAGCCAUGCCGCGUGAAUGAUGAAGGUCUUAGGAUUGUAAAAUUCUUUCACCGGGGACGAUAAUGACGGUACCCGGAGAAGAAGCCCCGGCUAACUUCGUG